CUGGGAGAGUGAGUGGAUAGCUACUUUGAAUGUAAUGACUUAGACAGGGAAAACCAGAGUUGACCAACAUGAUGGAAAGAAGAAUAGUGGAUGUCCAGUGAGUUUUUAGACAAGAUAGCUGUUGUGGAGAAGAAAAUAGGAGAAAGGAGAAAGUGAGUAAGAAGAUUAAAGGCAGGUGGUCCUCUUAACAGAGUUUCUUACUGGACUGUUGAACAAGAUCUUGGAGAGUGAGAAGAUGUAUGGGGAAUGGAGGAGAAGUGUUCUGGUUCCAUUUUCAAGAAGAAGGGAGAUGUCCAGAGUUGUGGAAAUCACAGAGGAAUAAAGCUGAUGAGUUACAAAGAAGUUAUGGAAAAGAGUAAUGGAAGCUAGACUGAGGUCAGAGGUGAACAUUUAUGAGCAACAGUAUUGUAUCCUCUACUGAAGACUAUAUUUGCUGUCAUGUUCCAGGAGAAGAAGAGAGAAGGUCAGAAGGAGUUGCUUAGUGUCUUUGUAGAUCCAGAGAAGGUCUAUGACAGGAUCUGGAGUCUGGAGCAGUCUGGAGCAGCUUAGAAGAACAUCUGAGAUGUUCAGGACAUGGAUGAGAGCUGGAAGACAGACGAUCUGUAGGUGCGACAAAGGAGUUCAAGGUUGAGGCGGGACUGCACAAAGGAUAAGCAUUGAGGUUCUUCUGGUUUCUGUGAUGAUGGACAGACUGACAGAUGAAGUUAGACAAGAAUGUCUGUGGACCAUUAGGUCAGCAGAUGACACUGAUCUGUAGUGAGCAGGGAGUAGCUGGAGGAACAUCUAGAGAGGUGGAGAUUUGCUCUGGAAAGGAGAGGAAUAAAGGUCAGCUGAGUAUCAGUGUGUAAAUGAGAGGAAAUCUAGAGGAGCAAUGAGGUUACAGGGAGCUGAGGGUGAGACGAUGGAUUGAGGGAGACAUUUAUUUCAGUUAUGUUAAACACAUAAAACUUAAAACAUCAACAUAUUCAUUGACACUGAACAAUGUCAAUAUAAACAUUGAACAAAAUUAACCUAAAAGGGUGUAAGGUGAAGCCAAGGCUCAUUUCCCCGACCCUCAUUACAAACAUCACAUCUACCUACAAAUUGACAGAACCUUAAAAAAAAAA